GAGGCAAUAACAGGUCAGUGAUGCCCUUAUAUGUCCUGGGCUGCACGCGUGCUACACUGAUGCAUACAACAAGUGCCUAACCAGACAUGGUAUGGCAAUCUCGAAUAUGCAUCGUGAUGGGGAUAGAUCUUUGCAAUUAUAGAUCUUGAACGAGGAAUUCCUAGUAAGUGCAAGUCAUCAUCUUGCAUUGAUUAUGUCCCUGCCCUUUGUACACACCGCCCGUCGCUCCUACCGAUACCGGGUGAUCCGGUGAACCUUUUGGACUCUUUAUGGGAAAGAUAAGUAAACCAUAUCACCUAGAGGAAGGAGAAGUCGUAACAAGGUUUCCGUAGG
rnacentral:rRNA from 1 species